rnacentral:tRNA from 1 species
CGAGAUAGCUCAGCUGGUAGAGCAACCGCUUCGUAAGCGGUAGGUCCGGGGUUCGAUUCCCCGUCUC